AUCUAGCUGACGAGUUUCAAAUAGAACGAAAUGCAUAUUCUGGAU
rnacentral:hammerhead_ribozyme from 1 species